rnacentral:lncRNA from 12 species
GAAAAACCUUCCAGUGCUGUUCCUGGCAGAGGGAUACAAUGAGAGCUGGCAUGAUUUCAUGUGCCCACCACAGACAUCGACCCUCAGGACCCUGAGUGUGACAAGACAUGUGUGCAAAGCCCAGGUGCUGCAUCCAACACACCCCAAACCCACUCCUCCUGCCCCAGGCUGAUUGCCUGAACUAUGACUGACCCAGAUUCCCACUGAAGUCCACGAGGGUUUUUGCAC